GCCGAUGUAGCUCAGUCGGUAGAGCGCAUCCAUGGUAAGGAUGAGGUCCCCGGUUCAAUCCCGGGCAUCGGCUCCA
rnacentral:tRNA from 1 species